rnacentral:tmRNA from 1 species
CUGCCGAGUCGGAGAGAGCGCGGCGACGACUAACUCGGAUGCCCGUCACGGGAGGUUGGGACCGCGGCGGAAAGACAUUCCCACUUACCUGUUCGUAACGGUCGGCCGACGCGCCGGCGGACAGGGACAACACAAGCAACGGCUACGCACGUAGAAGCAGCUCGCGGAGACCGUCUGGACGGGGAGUUCGAUUCUCCCCCGUCUCCACCA